GCCAACAGGAUAGCUCAUUUGGUAGAGCAUGAGGCUCUUAAUCUCGAAGGUCAUGGGUUCAAGCCCCAUUUCGGACA